UGUGUGCGUGUGCCGUACUGAAAGUGAUGGUUCGGAGUAAUUCCACCCUAGGGUACUUUGCACCACGACCUCGAGCCAAACAACCCCCCAGAUGCUUUUUUUACCUGGGUCGAACAUUGGGCGA